rnacentral:misc_RNA from 1 species
UCUCCGUUGGUGAACCAGCGGAGGGAUCAUUACAGGACUCGCAAGACUCCUUCACCCUGUGAACCUCACUACAAGCACGUUGCUUCGGCGGGUGUCCCGGCGGGGGUUUUCCCUCGCCGGGGCGCACAGCCCGCCGGCAGCCUACUAUACUCUGUCUCUUUGCGUUGGCAUCUCGAGAAAAAACAAACAAGUUAAAACUUUCAACAACGGAUCUCUUGGUUCAG